rnacentral:rRNA from 1 species
GACGAACGCUGGCGGCGUGCUUAACACAUGCAAGUCGAACGGAAAGGCCCCUUUGGGGGUACUCGAGUGGCGAACGGGUGAGUAACACGUGAGUAACCUGCCCUUGACUUCGGGAUAACUUCAGGAAACUGGGGCUAAUACCGGAUAGGAAUCCUUGCUGCAUGGUGGGGGUUGGAAAGCUUCGGCGGUUUUGGAUGGACUCGCGGCUUAUCAGCUUGUUGGUGGGGUAGUGGCUUACCAAGGCUUUGACGGGCAGCCGGCCUGAGAGGGCGACCGGCCACAUUGGGACUGAGAUACGGCCCAGACUCCUACGGGAGGCAGCAGUGGGGAAUAUUGCACAAUGGGCGGAAGCCUGAUGCAGCAACGCCGCGUGCGGGAUGACGGCCUUCGGGUUGUAAACCGCUUUCAGCAGGGGCGAAGCUUGUGGUGACGGUACCUGCAGAAGAAGCACCGGCUAACUACGUG